AUUGAACGCUGGCGGCAUGCCUUACACAUGCAAGUCGAACGGUAACAGGUCUUCGGAUGCUGACGAGUGGCGAACGGGUGAGUAAUACAUCGGAACGUGCCCGAUCGUGGGGGAUAACGCAGCGAAAGCUGUGCUAAUACCGCAUACGAUCUACGGAUGAAAGCGGGGGAUCGCAAGACCUCGCGCGGACGGAGCGGCCGAUGGCAGAUUAGGUAGUUGGUGGGAUAAAAGCUUACCAAGCCGACGAUCUGUAGCUGGUCUGAGAGGACGACCAGCCACACUGGGACUGAGACACGGCCCAGACUCCUACGGGAGGCAGCAGUGGGGAAUUUUGGACAAUGGGGGAAACCCUGAUCCAGCCAUGCCGCGUGCAGGAUGAAGGCCUUCGGGUUGUAAACUGCUUUUGUACGGAACGAAAAGGUCCUUUCUAAUAAAGAGGGCUCAUGACGGUACCGUAAGAAUAAGCACCGG
rnacentral:rRNA from 1 species